rnacentral:rRNA from 1 species
GAUGAACGCUAGCGAUAGGCUUAACACAUGCAAGUCGAGGGGCAGCAUGGUCUUAGCUUGCUAAGACUGAUGGCGACCGGCGCACGGGUGCGUAACGCGUAUGCAACUUGCCUCACAGAGGGGGAUAACCCGUCGAAAGACGGACUAAUACCGCGUACACUCUAUGUUGGGCAUCCAAUGUAGAGGAAAUGAAAUUCGCUGUGAGAUAGGCAUGCGUCCCAUUAGCUAGUUGGUGAGGUAACGGCUCACCAAGGCGACGAUGGGUAGGGGAACUGAGAGGUUGAACCCCCACACUGGUACUGAGACACGGACCAGACUCCUACGGGAGGCAGCAGUGAGGAAUAUUGGUCAAUGGGCGAGAGCCUGAACCAGCCAAGUCGCGUGAAGGAUGACUGUCUUAUGGAUUGUAAACUUCUUUUAUACGGGAAUAACAAGAGCCACGUGUGGCUCCCUGCAUGUACCGUAUGAAUAAGCAUCGC